AUUGAACGCUGGCGGCACGCCUAACACAUGCAAGUCGAGCGGUAACAUGCUUAGUAGCAAUACUAAGUGAUGACGAGCGGCGGACGGGUGAGGAACACGUAGGAACCUGCCCAAGAGAGGGGGAUAACUAAGGGAAACUUUAGCUAAUACCGCAUAAUUCUCUGAGGAGAAAAGUUGCCCGUAAGGGUAGCACUUUUGGAGGGGCCUGCGUCCGAUUAGUUAGUUGGUGAGGUAAUGGCUCAUCAAGACUGUGAUCGGUAACUGGUCUGAGAGGACGACCAGUCACACUGGGACUGAGACACGGCCCAGACUCCUACGGGAGGCAGCAGUGGGAAUCUUGGACAAUGGGGGCAACCCUGAUCCAGCGAUGCCGCGUGAGUGAAGAAGGCCUUCGGGUCGUAAAGCUCUUUAGGCUGGGAAGAAGGUUAGUAGUUUAUGAGAUAACUAGCUUGACUGUACCAGCAGAAUAAGCACCGGCAAACUCUGUGCCAGCCGCCGCAGUAA
rnacentral:rRNA from 1 species